UGGGGAAUAUUGGACAAUGGGCGAAAGCCUGAUCCAGCCAUGCCGCGUGUGUGAAGAAGGUCUUCGGAUUGUAAAGCACUUUAAGUUGGGAGGAAGGGUUGUAGAUUAAUACUCUGCAAUUUUGACGUUACCGACAGAAUAAGCACCGGCUAACUCUGUGCCAGCAGCCGCGGUAAUACAGAGGGUGCAAGCGUUAAUCGGAAUUACUGGGCGUAAAGCGCGCGUAGGUGGUUAGUUAAGUUGGAUGUGAAAUCCCCGGGCUCAACCUGGGAACUGCAUUCAAAACUGACUGACUAGAGUAUGGUAGAGGGUGGUGGAAUUUCCUGUGUAGCGGUGAAAUGCGUAGAUAUAGGAAGGAACACCAGUGGCGAAGGCGACCACCUGGACUGAUACUGACACUGAGGUGCGAAAGCGUGGGGAGCAAACAGGAUUAGAUACCCGAGUAGUCCCUGAGCGGGCUGGCAAGGCGCAU
rnacentral:rRNA from 1 species